rnacentral:lncRNA from 1 species
UUGGGGGCUUCUGGGCUGUGGGUUUAGGGUUUAGGGUUUAGGGUUUAGGGUUUAGGGUUUAGGGUUUAGGGUUUAGGGUUUAGGGUUUAGGGUUUAGGGUUUAGGUUAGGGUUUUAGGGUUUUAGGGGUUUUAGGGUUUAGGUUUAGGGUUUAGGUUAGGGGUUCGUAGGGAUCUGAUUCGUUUAGGUUUAGGUUUAGGUUUAGGGUUUAAGGGUUUAGUGGUUGUAGGGUUAGGGUUUAAGGGUUGGGUUUGGGUUUAGGUUUAGGGUUUGGGUUAAGGGUUUAGGGUUUAGGGUUUAGGGUUUAUGGUUUAAGGGUUUAGGUUUAGGGUUCUAAGGGUUUUAUGGGUUAGGGUUUAGGGUUUAGGGUUUAGGGUUUAGGUUAGGUUUCGGGGUUAGGGUUUUAGGGUUUAGGGUUUAAGGGUUUAGGUUUAGGGUUUAGGUGAAGGGAUUUUAGGUUUUUAGGGUUAGGGUUUAGGGCUUUAGGUUUAGGGUUUAGGGUUUAAGGGUUUAGGGUUUAGGGUUACGGUUUAUGGUUUUAGGGUUUUAGGUUUAGGGUUUUAGGGUUUAGGGUUUAGGGAGUUAGGGUUUAGGGUUUAGGGUUUUUUAGGGUUUAAGGGUUUAGGGUUAUAGGGUUUAGGUUUAGGGUAGAGGUUUAGGGUUAGGGUUUAGGGUUUAAGGUUAGGGUUCGGGUUUAGGGUUUAGGGUUUAGGGUUUAGGGUUUAGGGUUUAGUUUAGGGUUUAGGGUUUAGGUUUAGGGUUUAGGGUUUAGGGUUUAGGGUCUUAGGGUUAGGGUUUAGGGUUAGGGUUUAGGGUUUAGGUUUUAGGUUUAGGGUCUUAGGGUUUAAGGGUUUGGGUUUAGGGUUUUAGGGUGUUACGGUUAAGGGGUUUAGGGUUUCAGGGUUUAGGGUUUACGGGUUUAGGGUUUAGGGUUUAGGGUUUAGGGUUUAGGUAUUAGGGUUUAGGGUUUUAGGGUUUUAGCGGUUUAGGAGUUUUUAAGGGUUAGGGUUAGGGUUUAGGGUUUAGGGUUACGGGUUUAGGGGUUAGGGUUUAGGGUUCUUAGGUUUUAGGGUUUCGGGUUUUAGGGUUUAGGGUUAGUGGUAUUAGGGUUUAGGGUUUAGGGUUAGGGUUUUAGAGGUUUAGUUUAGGGUUAGGGUUAGGGUUUAGGUUUAGGGUUUAGGGUUUAGGGUUUAGGGUUAGGGCUUUAAGGUUUAGGGUUUUAGGGUAUUAGGGUUUAAAGGGUUUAGGGUCUUAGGGUUAUAGGGUUUAGGGUUUAGGGUUUAAGGGUUUAGGGUUUAGGGUUUAGGGUUUAGGGUUGAUUAGGGUUUAGGGUUUAGGGAUUUAGGAGGUUUUAGGGUUUGAGGGUAAUUAGGGUUUAGGGUUUAAGGGUUUAGGGGUUUAGGUUUAGGGUUUAGGGUUUAGGGUUUAGGGUUUUUUAGGGUUUAGGGUUUAGGGUUUAGGGUUUAGGGUUUAGGUUUAGGGUUUACGGGUUUAGGGUUUAGGGUUUAGGGUUUAGGGUUUAGGGUUUAUGGGUUUCAGGGUUCUGGAGGGUUUAGGGUUUAAGGUUAGGGUUUAGGGUUUAGGGUUUAGGGUUUAGGGUUUAGGGUUUAGGGUUUAGGGUUUAGGUUUAGGUUUAGGGUUUAGGGUUUAGGGUCUUAAGGGUUAGGGUUUAGGGUUUAGGGUUUAGGGUUUAGGGUUUAGGGUUUAGGGUUUAGGGUUUAGGGUUUAGGUUUAGGGUUUAUGGGUUUAGGGUUUAGGUUUAGGGUUUAGGGUUUUAGGGAUUAGGUUUAGGGUUUAGGGUUUAGGGUUUAGGUUUUGGGUUUAGGUUUAGGGUUUAGGGCUUUAGGGUUUAAGGGUUUUUAGGGUUUUAGGUUUUAGGGUUUAGGGUUAGGGUAUAGGUUUAGGGUUAUAGGGUUAGGGUUUUCAGGGUUCGGGUUUAGGGUUUAGGGUUUAGGGUUAGGGUUACAGGGUUUAGGGAAUUUAGGGUUUUAAGGGUUUAGGGUUUACGGGUUUAGGGUAUUAGGGUUUAGGGUUUAGGGUUUAGGGUUUAGGGUUUAGCGGUUUAGGGUUUAAAACAGAUUUGGGUGGUUUGGGGGUUUUUUUAGGUUUAGGGUUUAGGUUUACCGGGGGUUUAGGGGGUUAAGGAAAACUUUAGGGUUACGGUUUAAGCGGUGUUAGGGCUCUUAGGCGUUUAGGCCUUCUAGGGUUUACGGCCGCUUUACGGGCUUUAGGGUUUUAGGGUUUAGGUUUAGGGUUUAGGGUUUAAGCGAAGUUUAGCGUUUUUAGGGUUUUAGGGUUUAGGGUUCUAGGGUUAAGCCGGUCUUCAGAGGUUAGGCUUUAAGGGUUCUAAGGGUUUAGGGUUAGGGUUUAGGGUUUAGGUUUUAGGGUUUAGGGUUAGGUUUAGGGUUAGGUUUAGGUUUAGGGUUAGGGUGUUAGGGUUUAGGGUUUGGGUUUAGGUUUAGGUUUUAGGGUUUAGGGUUUAGGGUUUACGGUCGGUUUAGGGUUCUGGACGCCCGCCGUUAGGGAUUAGGGUGGUUAGUGGGGGUUUUCGGGGUUUAGGGUUUAGGGUUUGGGUUUUAGGGUUUAGGGUUUAGGUUUAAGGGUUUUAGGUUUCGGGGUUUUAGGGUUUUAGGGUUAGUGGUUAGGGUUUAGGGUUUACGGUUUAGUGUUAGUUGGGUAAGGGUUUAGGUUUAGGGUUUAGGGUUUAAGGGUUUAGGGUUUUAGGGUUUAGAGUUUUAGGGUUUAGGGUUUCAGGUUUAGGUUUUUAGGGUUUAGGGUUUGAGGGUUUAGUGGUUUAGGGUUUAGGGUUUAGGGUUUUAAGUUUAGAGGUUUAGGGUUUCCGGGUUAGGGGUUAGGGUUUUAGGGUUUAGGGUUUUAAGGGUUAGGGUUGUAGGUUUUAGGGUUUUUAGGGGGGUUUAGGUUUAGGUUUAGGGUUUAGCGGUUUAUGGGUUAGGGUUGAGCGGUUUAGGGUUUAGGUAUUAGGGUUUAGGGUUUAGGGUUAGGGUUUUUAGGGUUUUAGGGUUUAGGGUUAAGGGUUAGGGUUUUGGGUUUAGGGUGUUAGGGUUUAGGGUUUAGGUUUGUAGGUUUAGGGUUUAGGGUUUAGGGUUCAGGGUUUAGGGUUUAGGUUUAGGGUUGGUUUAGGGUGUUAGGAUUCAGGUAUUUGAGGGUUUUAGGGUUAGGUUUAGGGUUUAGGGUUUAGGUUUUAGGGUUUAGGGUUUAGGGUUUAGGGUUUUAAGGGUUAGGGUUUAGGGCUUUAGGGUUUUAGGGUUU